rnacentral:lncRNA from 1 species
GGACAUACCGUUUAUACAAAAACAAACGUUAAAACUGAGCGAUACCUUAAGCUACAACUCCCCAAAAAUGUGCGUCGAACUGUUACCCUGUUCCGUAGCGGGUCUCUGCCGUUGGCGAUCGAGACAGGACGAUAUGCCCGACCGCGAACACCAGUAGAUGAAAGACUAUGCCGACUAUGUAAUAGCAACGAUGUUGAAAGUGAAAAAUUUUUUUUGUUGUUUUGCCCAUUAUAUGACGAUAUUAGAUUUGAAUUGUUUGCUAAAGCUAGAACUUUAAUUGAUAGCUUCGAUACUUUGGAUAUGGACAGUAAAUUUAUCGAAAUAAUGUCUUGUGAAGAUAUACAAACUUCUUUGUCAUAUGCAAUUUUUAAAUCUUUUCAGAGACGAAAACUAUUUAGCACAUGAGAAUUUAUCAAGCAAAAAUAUUUAAUGUUUUUCUAUUUAUAUUUAUAAACAGUGAUUUUAACUCAAAUUAUUUAGUCAUUUUGGAAAAACUUUUACUUUUUUGUAAGUUUAUCUGUGAUAAUUAAUAUUUUUCUAUUGUUAUUUCUUAUUUUUAAAGCUCA